rnacentral:rRNA from 1 species
CCUACGGGUGACUGCAGUGAGGAAUAUUUGUCAAUGGACGCAAGUCUGAACCAGCCAUGCCGCGUGAGGGAAGAAGGCUCUAUGAGUUGUAAACUGCUUUUGUCCGGGGGUAAACGCAUAUACGCGUAUCUGUCUGAAAGUAUCGUACGGAUAAGGAUCGGCUAACUCCGUUCCAGCAGCCGCGGGAAUAAGGAGGAUUCCAGCGUUAUCCGGAUUUAUUGGGUUUAAAGGGUGCGUAGGCGGUCGGCUAAGUUAGAGGUGAAAUCCCGAGGCUCAACGUCGGAAUUGCCUCUGAUACUGGUCGGCUAGAGAGUAGUUGCGGUAGGCGGAAUGCAUGGUGUAGCGGUGAAAUGCUUAGAGAUCAUACAGAACACCGAUUGCGAAGGCAGCUUACCAGGCUACAUCUGACGCUGAGGCACGAAAGCGUGGGUAGCAAACAGGAUUAGAUACCCGGGUAGUC